rnacentral:rRNA from 1 species
CACGGGUGAGUAACACGUAUCCAACCUGCCGUCUACUCUUGGCCAGCCUUCUGAAAGGAAGAUUAAUCCAGGAUGGGAUCAUGAGUUCACAUGUCCGCAUGAUUAAAGGUAUUUUCCGGUAGACGAUGGGGAUGCGUUCCAUUAGAUAGUAGGCGGGGUAACGGCCCACCUAGUCAACGAUGGAUAGGGGUUCUGAGAGGAAGGUCCCCCACAUUGGAACUGAGACACGGCCCAA